CGCAGCAGGCUCUUCAGGUAGCCAAUUGAGUAUGGAUAGGGUACUGUUGCCGACAAGAAUGUUUCUGCUACACCGCACGAAACUAGGAUUUCUCUUUUGUUGUGACUGGGCUAUGUGAAAGAGCUUUCUGGGGAGGAACACCCAAUGAAAUGAUUUUCAGUGAUUCUGUUGCCUGAAUUGUAUUUCGUUUUGUCAGACUCAUCUCUUCUUCAAGGCAGAGGAGGCAUCUAUGCGCUGUGUUCUAGUCUGCAAUAGGCAGCCUAGGAGCCUGCCUACAUGUAGAGCCAACGAAGGUUCGUGACACCAUCCACUUCAACAAUAAUAGUUUUUUCUUUCCUUUCCGAUAUCCUGGA
rnacentral:sRNA from 1 species